rnacentral:miRNA from 1 species
CUGAACGGUUCGCUGAUCAGCAGCAGACCUUCCCUCCCAGACCCUCCCACCUCCUCGACAGCUCACUAAGAAUGCAGCUUCAAAAUGGAUGGUGUCCAGGAGUUGGGAGGGUCUGGGAGGGAGGGUCUGCUGUUGAUUGGCUGGAAUGUGUC